AUAAGAAUCCAAUUGAAAUUGAAUAAGAACUUAUUUGAAUUAAUACGGUGACUGCAUUUCCGACAAGGUGGAUGUCAAUGCUAGUGUUAAAUUUUCUUCGUGUUCUACGCUCUCUGAGUAAACAAAUACGCAAACACAGCAGUUAAUUACUUCAUCCGCGGUAGCCGAGUGGCGAGGGCUGCGUACUACAAGCCUGCAGGUCCCAGGUUCGAUCCCCAAAAAAUUCCAAAAAAAAAAUUAGUUUUUAUUGUUACUUAAAUUUUUUAGUUUUAUUUGAUUGAUAUAUUUAAUUUAACUUUAUUUUAUUUUCGUUUAUUUUAUUUCACAUUUUUUAUUUUAUUUUAGUUAAUUUAAAAUUUUAGAGUUUAAUUUUACUAAAAAUGUCAAAGACAACUAACACUAAAAACACGCGUCGAUAAUCCAGAUCAACGUUGCCGUCUCUCUAUGCUU